rnacentral:tRNA from 1 species
UAUGUAGUGCCUGAUUUGAAAGGAUAAUUUUGAUAGAAUUAAUCAUGUGUAUUCACCUUCAUAA